AUGCUCGAGUGUUCUAGUCACUCAGUACUGUCUAAUGUGCUUUCUCCUAGAAUGUGUAGUAAUUUAUUAAUCUAUGUGCACUUUGCAGUGUAUGGGAGGAUGAGUGUUCUAUUAAGGCGGCUGUGUCGGUGAUUUGAGUCUUAAUUAUGAGUAAGAACGGAAUGUUCUCAAAAUAAUUGUCUCCUCUCACAUGUAUGAAAUGCAGUUACUGAAUAUAGGUGGUCUAUGGGUAAUAUUUUAACUAGUAUAGAUGUGAAGUAGCUUUCUGUUUUGGGUUGUUAUGAUCAGUUGGGUCUCUCUUUCUUUGGCUUAUCUCACAUGCUUAUUUGGUCUCUUUUGGUUUGGGAUUGGAAUCUGCGGAUUAGUAUCUUGGAUGUAAUAAAGCUUGAGUUUCGGGAAGCGAGGAAAUAUUUUUUCUCAAAACAUGGACUAAUGGAAGUUUAAUUCUGUAAGAAACACUUGAUGAAGCAUCUUGAAAUUUGGCAGAUGCAAAAAUAGGGAAGGACCAAGAUUCCAUGUGUAUAGCGAUGUUACUGGUGCAAAAAGUUUAUAUCAGGGUACAUAUUAUUCUCUCUUUGUGCAAAUACUUCGUUGCUCCAGAACUGGAGAAUCUACUUUUUGGAUAUUAUAUAUACUUUUAGUUGUUGAAGUUGCUAUGGAAUUGUGGAGUUCGCAAAUGCAACUUCUUCAUGGUAUGAGAUGUAUGUUGAGUUGUAUGAUAGAAUUGAUUUUGUAGUAGUGUUGGUUUAUUUGAUGCUACAUUUUGUGUUUAGGGAACCCUUGUAACUCCGCCUGUUAAAUCAGCCAGUCCCAAGCCUGGACCAAGGAGGAGGGAAGGUGUGUAAGUAUGAAAUUAGUUGUCUGUUCUUUUUAAUUAAUAGAAAUGUUUCUGGAGUUACAUAUGACCAUGGUGCCUCCCUAAUCAGAGUGGCUCCCUUCUCUCUUGUCAGAACACUGUUUAGUGUGUAUUUUGUUUCCAUAUUUGUUUUUUAAUAAUCCAGAUGCUUAUGUUCUUUGGUUAUCCAACUGGUGAGGAUUUCCAUGGUUAUGGACAAGACAUGAUAAGUGUAUUCAAAUUCAACAGUGUUCUUUUGAAGACCCUGUAAAGCACUCCUAUUCUUUUCGUGAUCUUGCUACUUACCUUCUCUGAUUUCGUUUAGCCUACCAGUUGAUUUAGUUUGGUUGGAUGAAUGUCUGUAGGCAAUGUGGUGGUAGUAAGAGGACAAUAAUUUGAUACUUUGUAGUUUGGUUUUGGUGUGCAUACCCUGAGGACCAUGUUUCUUGCCAUUUUGGUGCUUGCAUUGCAAUCUGGAUAUUGGAUAUCACCAGAUCAACAUGGUGAUCGUGAGGGGAUCAGAUUGGGUAAUUUCGAAGUUUGGUUUCAGUGUGUCCGUUGGUUGUGUACCUUGUUCCUUCGCCAUUUUGGUACUUGUGCUUGCACUGCAAUUUGGAUAUCACCAGGCACUGGCAAGGGCGUUAUGCAAUCUUGUCUUGCAUCUCUCUACUGAUCUCUUCUCUGUUUAUUUUUGGAGAUCUCUCCCCUAUUGUUAAUAUUGUUUUUGGAACAUGUGUAUUAUGUUCAGAUAUUAAUUCAUUUACGGAGUUGCUUCAGACUGUUAGCCAUUGUGUAAACCGCACACUGUUUUUGCCAUAAAACAUUGCCAUUUGAACAGUCAAAUAUUGAAUCUAGAACAGACAAAGUAAAAAACAUGGCUCAUCUUUUGUGUAACAAGUCAUGUACACUCUUUAUGUUAUUUAUAUCAACGCAACUAGUUUUGUGUUA